rnacentral:rRNA from 1 species
CCUGAGAAACCCAAAAGAUCGAAUGGGGAGAUUCAUCGUCAGCUCAUUUUGUAUAUGUAUAAGUUAUGAUGCGGGUUACUACUUGUAGUAUUGCCUGCACAUUCUUGUAUAUUUAGUUGCAAGAUGUUGUCGGCGUGCACUUCUCCCCUAGUAGGACGUCGCGACCUGUUGGGUGUCGGUCUACGACCUAAGUGAUAGUCUUUAAUGUAAUUUAAAAAGCAUUAAAGAUCCUUGGUGUUUUCUGACCGGCUACUUGGCAGUAUUCGUACGGUAUUUAGCCGCUAAAUUUAUUAAGCGUCCAUAUCCGUCACAAGCAAGGCUAAUUUACUGAUAGUACGGACAUAGUGCCGUCGUUGGUAUUGGCCAGCUGUUGGUUGUAUGGUAUUCUAGGACUGGCUAAAAUWAUUACCGGUCGGCGAUGCUACUGCUUUGGGUACUUUCAGG